GGUGGUGACCUCAUACUACGACCCUGACAAGUACCAUCGAAGAGAGUUUUAAUUACAAACAUGCCACGGGAAUUGAACACAACAAGAGACCAACAUGUCGACACACACUUCAACAAACAUCAUGAAUUGACUCAUUUUUAUUUCAAUCAUUACUUUUUUAUCAACCUCAGAAUAAUUUUGCUUCACAAUAGAGAUUGUGUUGUGUGGUAGAAUUUGGAAAUAAAUUGUUUAUCUGU
rnacentral:misc_RNA from 1 species